UUUGUUUUUGUUUCUGUUUUUGUGUGCUGCACAUAUUAUUACCUCUGUAAUAAUUGUGUUUCCUUGCUUUAAUUAGUGUUUGAGCCCAGUAAUACCUUUGGGAUGGUCUAUGGUGCUUGCAAGUUGAUUUUGCUGAAAAACAGAAACUUUCGCUCUCAGUCCAGAAAUUUUAUAAAUACACUGGAAUGUGCUUUUGAUGUGAUUUUUUACACAAAGUUGGUUUAAAAAUUUCCGAGGUUGUCCUAAUGUAUCACAAUUUUUGGAGUUACAGAAGUAUUCCAAGUAAACAGAUUGCUACAUACUGUUCUGUUUUUGACAGAUUCUGUUUCUUUGUGUUGUUUGUGGAUUUCGAUGAAUCUAUGGGUUGUAUUGGGGGUAUGAACCAUGGAGAAGUUAGAAUACAGUAAAUAUUACAUUAAUAUAAAUAAAGAAUGAGUUCACAACAGUACCUAAGUGGUGAUUUAUCUUUCUUAUACUAACGAAUCUCACGAAUUUUCUGUUGAGUUUUGUGUUGUGAAGUUUUCAUGUUUUGGGUAAUUAAAGAUUUGAUGGACUAUCGAAUAAGGAGUGGCAAGGGCCUAAUAUUGGGGAUUCCCAAGGCACCCCAAGCCAUAUUCAAGGAUACCAAAAAGCCUAAUCUUGGGGAUGCCCCGGAAGGCAUCCCCUCUUUCGUCUUCAUUCCAUCUGUAAAUUUACUUGAGGCUAUUUUUUUAUUCACCACAUAAUAUGUGUUUUGCUUGGAGUGUCUUGUAUAAUAUGAGUCUUUACUUUUUAGUUUGCCACAAUCAUCCUUUCUGCACACAUAUUUUGAGAGAGACACACACUGAAUCGUGAAUUUUUUAAAAUACUCUUUAUGCUUCACUUAUAUCUUUUGAGCUAGGUAAUGCUCUAGUACAUCACUUAUAUAUUUUAGAGCACGCGGUGUUAUGAAAUUAUUAAACUCUCGUACUUCACUUAUAUUAUUUUGAAGGUUCUUUAAACAGCAUGGUAAUUGGUUUAAGGUUAUGAAUUUAGUCCUAAUAUGAUAGGCUUCCAAAAGGGAUAUAAUAAAAACUUUCAUAUUAAGUGCAUUGAAUAUGAUGAGAAGUUUGAUUCCUUGCAUAUAGUUUUGAGACGUGAGUAUGGUGAGAUGAGAGUCAUGCUAGUAAGUAAUUGUGAAUUAGAAAAAAUACUUGUGUUGAAGCUUGUGAUUCCCGUAGCAUGCACGUAUGGUGAACCAUUGUGUGAUGAAGUCGGAGCAUGACUUGUUUAAUUAUUGUCAGCCUUUGUGUGGAGGUCGGGAUCGCGCCAUGGUUAACUCUUACCACCCCUUUUCCUAGGAGCAUGCGUCUAAUACUUUCCUUAGAUAACUAAUAUGCUUUUGCAAUAAGUAUGUGAGUUCUUUAUGACUAAUGUUGAGUUCAUGGAUUAUACACACACUCAUCCUUCCACCUUUGCUAGCCUCUCUAGUAAGCAACUUUCGCCGGUACAUUAAACCCACCUUCCUCAAAAUAACCACCAUAUAUUUUCCUCAAAAUGGACACCAAACCUACGUAUUAUGGCAUUUUCAUAGCCAUUCCGAGAUAUAUUGCCAUGCAACACCACCGUCCCGUUUUUAUGACACGCACCAUCACUUCCAUAUUGCUUGUAGAGUCAUACUUUGUUCUAAGAUAUCGAGUUGUAAUCUUUUAAGUUGUAAGUAAAUAGAAGCGAUGAUUUUACAUUAUUAGAGCAUUGUCUCGUGUGAGAAAAAAAGGAUGAUGGAAGCUAUGAUUCCCUCACAAGUUGGGACGAGUCUCUGGACUUUACAAAAAAAUAAAAGAGGCCUGCGAACCCCAUAAAAAAGGCCACAGAAGGCCAUCCAAGAAAAGAAAAAAAUGAGAGAAAGAGAGAAGGGACAAUGCUACUAUCUUUUUCCACACUUAUGCUUCAAAGUAGCACCAUGUUCUUCAUAGAGAGUUUCCUAUGUUGUCAUUUUCACGUAACUAGUGGUACACAUCUUUUGCACAACAACUUACUUUUCUUUUUGAGCUUUCAUACACUUAUAGCUCUAGUGCAUUUGUUGCAUGGGAAUCCCUACUCACUCACAUUAAUAUCUAUUGAUGGGCAUCUCCAUAGCCCGUUGAUAUGCCUAGUUGAUGUGAGACUAUCUUCUUCCUUUCUUUUUGCAACCUCCACCACAUUCUAUUCCACCUAUAGUGCUAUAUCCAUGGCUCACGCUCAUGUAUUGCGAGAGAGUUGAAAAGGUUUGAGAACAUAAAAAGUGUGAAACAAUUGCUUGAUUUUCACCGGGGUUGUGCAUGAUUUAGAUACUUUGUGUGCUGAAGAUGGAGCAUAGACAGACCAUAUGGUUUUAUAGGGAUAACUUUCUAAGACCAUGCUAUUUCGAAAGGAAGCAAUUACCUUAUUAGUAUGCUUGAAGUAUUAUUGUUUUUAUGUCAAUAUAGACUUUUGUUUUGAGUCCUAUGGAUUUGAAUAUUCAUGCCACAUUAUAAAAUAUUGCAUGGAUAAAUAUGUUAGGUAGUAUUCCACAUAAAAAUUCUGUUUUUAUCAGUUACCUACUCGAGGACGAGGAGGAAUUAAGCUUGGGGAUGCUGAUACGUCUCCAACAUAUCUAUAAUUUUUUAUUGUUCCAUGCUAUUAUAUUAUAUGUUUUGGAUGUUUUAUAUGCAUUUAUAUGGUGUUUUACAUUAUUUUUGGGACUAACCUAUUAAUCUAGAGCCUCGUGCCAGUUUCUGUUUUUUUUCACGUUUUUGAAUAUUGAAGAUAAGGAAUAUUAAACGGAGUCCAAACGGAAUAAAUCUCCGAAAAGAUUUUUCUGGACCAGAAGACACACAACAGACUUGGAGUAGGGGACAAGGCAGUUACCGGGAGGCCACAAGCCUGCAGGGCGCGCCCUGGGAGGUGGCCGCGCCCCCUGGCUUGUGGGCCCCCUGCAGGUCUCCUAACCCUAAUUCUUGGCCUAUAAAUUCCCACAUAUUCCCGAAACACCAAAAAGAGCAACAAGAAUACUUUUACACCGCCGGGAGCCUCUUUUCCCGAGAGAUCCAAUCUGGGAGCCUUUUCUGGUAAUCUGCCGGAGAGAGAAUUGAUGACGGAGGGCAUCUACAUCAACUCCAUUGCCCCUCCGAUGAUGUGUGAGUAGUUCACCACAGACCUACGAGUCCAUAGCUAGUAGCCAGAUAGCUUCUUCUCUCUGUUUGAUCUUGAAUACCAUGUUCUUCAUGACCUUCAUGGAGACCUAUCUGAUGUAAUACUCUUUUGCGGUAUGUUUGUUGAGAUCGGAUGAAUUGUGAGUUUAUGUUCAGAUUAUCCAUGAAUAUUAUUUGAGUCUCUUCUAAAUUCUUAUAUGCAUGAUUUCAUAUCUUUGCAAGUCUAUUUAAUUUAUUUGUUUUGGUUUGGCCAACUAGAUUGGUAAUUCUUGCAAUGAGAGACCUUGUGGAAACGGGCCCGCCUGUUGAGGCGGAAAGAUCGGCCGCUCGUUCGCCAUGGAUGAGCCAGACGACACCUCUUGCUCUACUUCCGCAUCCCUGGAUCUCUUCAUGAUGAGCCUGUUCUGCCAAUCCACCGAUCGGUGGUCAUCACCGCCCGCCGAUGAACGUCGGUCUUCCAUUGCGCAUUCGUCAAGCCCACGGGCCUUGGCGUCUGCGCCCUCCGCUUCCUCGCCUUUGGUACGACGGGUUUGAUGGCUUGGCGAGGGGCGGCGUACUUCUUCGGCGGCAUGGUGGGGGAGAGAAGAUGGUGAGAAUGGAGGGAACAUCGGGCGGGGGGGGGGGGGGAGGAUGUAGAUGAUGGGGAGGGAAAGGGAGGGAAAAGGAAGAAACGAUGGGAAAGUAGACCAGUGGUGCCGAUAGUGCAGCCCCACGUGACUUUUCGGUUCAUCCGACGCUCCAAGGCACCCCAAUCUUGCUCGGUUAGGCCUGGGUCCGCCGGCACCGAUUUUGGCCCAAACCGGCGUAAAACGAGGUCCUGGGUGCGCGACUGGGCGAUUUUCUAGCGUCGACGAUAAAAAAGGGGCCGGGGGGGGGGGGGCUAUUGGGGGUGUGGCUGUAGAUGCUCUAAGCAUCAUGUGUGGAUUACAAAGCUCGAUUUUUAGAAACCGAUUAACACUAUUGAACAUGAUAUUAUCCUGAAAUUCUAAAGUUUAAAGGAUUUGAAGAGAAAUGGAGAGUUCAAAUCAAGGAGAUCUUAUCCUUUGAAACACCUACCAUCCUUUGGAAUGGUGUGCCUAGUAAGAAAUUGCAAUGAAAACAUGGGAUUCAGUAUGGUGACCCACUGUUACACUUCCAUUUGUCUUGGUAGUGGAUUUACCUUAGUCUAUUCUCAAUGACAUGUAUCAUUGUGGGGGUUAUCCUUUCUAGUCCCAUCUUAUGAUCCAAACUAUCCAAUUGUGCACUAUGCUAAUUAUAUGUUGUUGAUUAUGUCGGAUGUUGAUUUCUCAACUUCUUGAACUAAAAUAAAUGUUACAACCUUUUCUAAAUCCACUCGUUUGCAAGUGAUUUUUUUUUUGUAAUCCUCCAUGGCCACUAGUAGGAAAAUGGCCUAUAGCCCGGGACUAAACAACCGGGACUAAUGCAAGCCCUGGUUCGGCCCCGAACCGGGGCUAAUGGUCCUCCACGUGGCGGGGCUUGGAGCGAGGGGGGAAGGGGUAUUAGUCCCGGUUCUUAUUACGAACCGGGACUAAAGGCUCCACCUGAUUUAUUUUAUUUCACCCAAAAAGGUAGAUUUGUUUUUGAUUUUUUUUCACCCAUCCUCACUGAGGACUUAUUCUAAAUCGUCUAACUUCUCGACCGGUCACCCAUCCUCUAACUGCUUCAACCCGAGCACACUUAAUUUUCUGGUUCUAUCGCCCCUAGUUGCCAAGUCUCCACUUGUUGUUUGCCUGACAAUAGUAAGCUAUCAAUCCUAAACAACCUGGGUUCUUGAUGUCAUGUCACAUGAUUUAAUUUUUUGAAUUCAAACAAUUAUAAAAAUAAACAAAAUAAGUAAUAAUAAUAGUGAAUUUCAAUGAAAACAACAUAAUAUUUUUAAAUAAAAUUAUUUUUCCUUAUUUUUCUCGGAAAAAACUUCUUUUUGAAAUAACUUUUUUUACAUUUGGAAUUUUGAGCAUGUGAGAAAAAUUCAGCGGGCAAACUUUUUUUGACGUCGUAUGCAAAAGUUAUGGCCGUUUUACAUUUUUUUCCUUUUUUGCAAAAACGGUCAAAAUUCAUAUCUCAAAAUUUCUAUACCAACUAGACACUAAAACCUAACUACAUCUCAAAGGAUUUUAUUUUUUGAAGACUUUAUCAUUUUUUCUUUAUUUUCUACAAAACUAAAAAAGACGGUCCGCGGGGGGUAGAGUUUGAAAAUUUCAGAAUCCCCCUUUAGCCAAGAGUCCAAUCAUACCCGUCGACUACAUCUGCUAGCACCGUCCCCGCCAGAGUCACAACUAAGGUUAACCAAGCCAGAGUAACCCUUUCUAACUUUAUUUGCUAUUUUUCAUGCAUUUAAUGAUUUUUUGAGCUAAAUGUCCCUAAUAUGGAAAAGCACUAUUAUGAACUCUGAAAAUGUUGACACGUGGCAUGGUAUUAUCAUUUCACCCACAUAGCUUGUGCUAAAAAGUUGAGAGGGUUACGGCAAAAACUGGAUGCACUUCGUGUACAAGCUGGACCAUCUCCUUCGAAGUAUCCAGGUUUCACACGAAAACCCAUCUGCUACAAAGGCAUUUUAUUUUUUACUUAUUUCAACUCCAGAAUUUUUGUGUACUUUGUGCAUUCAAUAUGCACCAUUCAAAACCACAUCCUAAAAUUUCAACCCUUUAUAACUUCAUUUGCUAUUUUUCAUGGAUUUAAUGAUUUUUUGACCUAAAUGACCCUGAAAUUGAAAAGCUCGACAAAUGAACUCUGAAAAGGUUUAAACGUGGCAUGGUAUCAUCAUUUCACCCACAUAUCAUGUGCUAAAAAGUUGAGAGGGUUACGACAAAAACUGGAUACACUUCGUGUACAAAACGGACAAUCUCUUUCGAAGUAUCAGGGUUUCGAACAAAAACUCAUCUCUUGCUAAGGGACUUCAUUUUUUGAACUUAUUUGAACUCCAUACUUUUUGUGUAUUCAAAAUGCACCGUUCAAAGCCACAUCAUAAGUUUUCAACAUUUUGUGACUUCAUUUGGUAUUUUUCACGCAUUUACUUAUUUUUUGUGCUAAUUGACCCUGAAAUUGAAAAGCACUACAAAUGAACUCUGAAAAGGUUUAAAGUUGGCAUGGUAUCAUCAUUUCACCCACAUGGCAUGUGCUAAAAAGUUGAGGGAGUUACGGCAAAAACUGAAUGUACUUCGUGUACAAAACAGACAAUCUCCUUCGAAGUAUCAAGGGUUGAGACGAAAACCCAUCUGCUAGAAAGAGAUUUCAUUUUUUUAACUUAUUUGAACUCCAUACGUUUUGUGUGUUCAAUAUGCAUCAUUCAAAGUCACCUCAUAAAUUUUCAACCCUUUCUUACCUCAUUUUCUAUUUUCCAUGCAUUUAAUGAUUUUUUGAGCUAAAUGCCCCUAAAAAUGAAAAGUGCUACAAAUGAACUCUGAAAAGGCUGAAACUUGUCAUGGAAUCAUCAUUUCACCCACAUGGCAUGUGCUACAAAGUUGAGAGGGUUACGGCAAAAACUGGAUGCACUUCGUGUACAAACUGGAUCAUCUCCUUCGAAGUAUCAAGGUUUCAGACGAAAACCCAUCCGCUACAAAGGCAUUUUUUUAAAAUUAUUUCAACUCUAGACUUUUUGUGCAUUCAAUAUGCAUCAUAUUACAACAUGUUACAAUCUACAGAAAGAGCUAACUAAAAAUAAUAAAAAACAACAAUUAAAUGACUAAAACAACUAUAUAAGCAAAACAAUAUUGUUUUAAUUAAAAACCUAAUUUAAAUUAUUCUAAAAAUAACAAAAUAAAUCUUACCGUGACAACAAUCUAACACAUGACUAGGAGCAAAAAGAAUUAAAUUAAAACUAUUUGUAAACUCAAAUUAUUCACAAUUUAGGUUUGAAGCAAAAUUGAACAAAUUCAAAUUUAAACCAAUCAAAUUUAAAAACUAAUGGCACAAACAGAAACUAGACAAUAUUUUGAAUCUAAUGCAAAAAGAAUCACUCAAAAACAUCAAAUAUCCUAAAAGAUAUAAGCAAUUUAAAACAUAAACUACAAAUAGAAAACAAAUUAAAAAAAAUUCAAAACCCCUUUAGUCAUGGUUCGUGUCUUGAACCGGGACUAAAGGUCCCUUUAGUCCCGGUUCAAGACACGAACCGUGACUAAAGCCUCCAAACCCUUUAGUCCCGGUUCAAGACACGAACCGUGACUAAAGCCUCCAAACCCUUUAGUCCCGGUUCAAGACACGAACCGUGACUAAAGCCUCCAAACCCUUUAGUCCCGGUUCAAGACACGAACCGGGACUAAAGGUCCCAUUUAAACCGGGACUAAUGCCCGACUGGCGCCCUUGUUGCUCGAACCAGGACUAAUGCUAACAUUAGUCCCGGUUCGUAAUGGAACCGGGACUAAUGUGUAAAUUAAGCUGGGACGGAAGCCCUUUUUUCUACUAGUGGGCGCUUAUAAAUGUGGUUGUCGAUGAAGCUUCUCGUUUGGCUAGUUUGUUUGAGUGCCAACUGGGUAAGAUGCCUUUCACUUAUCUUGCUUUACCUAUGUGUAACACUAGUUGCAAGAUUCAUGACUUAAUGCCUUCGGUUAAUAUAUAGAAUGGAAAGGAGAAUGACAACUAUCUCUUCUCUAGUUUCACGAGGUGCUAGGUUGAAACUUUUGAGGUCUACCAUUUCAUCCAUGCUGAUAUUACUAUCUUUGUAGUGUCUAGAUCCCUGUGGCAUAACUAGACAACUAGAGAGAAUUGAGCAGAAUGCCUCUAGUAUUAAUGCUAAUAUCCCAAAUCAACCAUUGUCGACAUUUCAUCUAAUAUAUAGACUGAAGGAGAAUGGUGGUAUGGGCAUCAGCUGGAAAAUUCAACACCAAGCUUUGCUUAGAGAAGACAUGCGCAAAUUUUAUAACAAAGCUCAUGUUCUAUGGUAUAUUUGCUAUGGAAUUAUUACAAUCAUGGACUCAUGCCUCACGCAACAGUCCUUUCUGGCUCUUACGAAUGGAGGAUAUUUUGAAACUUACACUAGAUUCGAAUAGCACUGACCGGCAAAAUAGUCUCAUCACUGACACACUUUUGGCUCGUCCGAUGCCUUGGGCUGAGUGAUGACAUUGUCACCACAGACGGGACAUCUGGCCUCUGAAUGAUGCCUAACCAGUAUUGUCCGCUGGCUGGUCGGUGAUAACAAUUUCACUCACUUUUGGAUGUUUGCGCUUUAUUUAUGUUUGUUUAUAAAAAAUGCAAAUGAAAUUGACAAAAACAUAGGAAUACCAUACACAUGCAUAAAUCAUUCAUUUGCACACUGGAUACUUUGCUUUUCACGCACGAUUCACAUGUAAAUUUACACAGUUCACAUCUACCAUAUAAAGAGUACUAAGCAAAACUGCACACUUCAUAAUACACAUGUCACUGAGGCCAUGUUCGGUAAUCCACCAGAUCUUGGAAUGUGUGGAGCUGGGAAACUGCAGCUCCCGUAUUAUGAACUACAGCUCCACCAGGUCCGCUCCCGGAGCUGUGGAGCGGAGCAUCUCCCAACAUGGCCUGAAUAUACCCAACCUCUUAUCAAACUAGAGAGGACUUACUCCCUCUGUACUUUCUCUGUUUCUAAAUAUAAGUUUUUUAAAGGUUUCAUUAGAGAACUACAUAUAGUAUAUAGACAUACUUUAGAGUAUAGAUUCAUUCAUUUUGCUCCGUAUGUAGUCUUCUAUUGAAAUCUCUAAAAAGACUUAUAUUUAAGAACAGAGGGAGUAAGUCCGCAUGCAACAAAAUUUGUCAAGACAAGUAACAUAAAAUAUCCAUUACCUGAUUUAAUACAUGUAGUUAAGAAUAUCAUAGCUAAGCUCAAUGUAAUUACACCCUGCUCGAGGAAUCUCUCGUCUGCUCCAAAAAGCAGCAGAUAAUAACAAAAGUGGAUAUUUACUGUGUGUCUAGAGAUGACAAAAUAUUUCAAGAUUGGUUUCAAAUCCUAAGAAACUGUUCUUUUCUUGAAUGAUACUCACACUAAGUACACUCAACCCGUAUCCGAAAUGAGGAGUCUAGAGUAGCCCGGACCUACUACCCUUAAGACUUGGUCUUCCCUUCUUUGAUUUUUGUGUAGUGCAACUAAAAGGUAUGUCAACUGAAAAUAUUUUUUUAUCCAGAUUUAGUUGAAUUUCAUUAGCAAUUGAAAAGUGAAGUAAUAUGUGUAGGCCAAAUAUGCCGUUCACUUGAACAAUAUUCCACUCUGUCUCCUAAUGAGGUAGUUGGUUGCGUUUAAAAUAUUUUCUAGCAUAUUCAUCACUACAUUGCCACAUAUAACAUGCAUAAUAUAUAAUAUUUUCUAACAUAUUCAUAGGUACAUGGAACACAUAGAUAUUGUAAGAUUCAUAGCAAGAUAAUUACAUGCAUCCAGAAUUGUAACACAUCCAUGGCAUGCAUAUCACAAUUGAAAUUGCAACAUAAUUAUGAAGUAAUGGAGCUAACCACCGUGGAUGACAACAUUGGGGAUGCAUGAGACACGUCAACAAUAGGGCAGAUCCUCGGGGCAGAGAAACCCCGACAAUGACACAACUACGAUGACUGAUACAACGACCACCCGCGUUGCCCUCGAAGACCCGGUGUCCUAUGGAAGGGUGGUAAUGAAUCGACGGAAAUGCGGCAACGUCCCAACGAGGAAGCUCCAUCGGUCCAUUGGGUCGUCAUACGAGCGACAUCGUCGGGACGCAAUGACCGUGAAGGAAGGUCGUGGGGCCGUUGGCAAGCCCCCCACAUAUAAGCGAACGGAGGAAGAGGAGGGAUGAUAGGUACGCCAACAGGAUGGAAGGACUCCAUGGCGGCUGUGAGGGUAUAGAAUGAAAACAUGGAGUGGACAAUGAUUAAAACAAGGCGCGUACAGAACAACACCAACAUGCUAAAAAUCAAAAGGGCAAGAUUGAAGAUGACAUUACAGACGGGUCAAAUACAGGAGCCAAUUUGAUUAUCUUAGGUCCAAUUUGAACAUCGGGACACCAUAUAAUUGAACAAUAUUUUGUAGACCAAUCUAUGAUAAUCGUCAAGAUGAGCAUAGGGAUACAUAUUACUAACACACCCUCGAGGGUCGGUCAGUGUUAUGGCUGAUUAGUGACGCAUAGUUCAAAGCCGCACAGGGAUGAGGGGCGAAUGCUAUUCUCAUAUGUAGUAUUGUCAACGAUCAAUAUAGGCCAUCUCUUCAUUCAAAGUUAAUAUGGAUGACUCUGCCCUAUUCUUCUCUGCCUGAAUGAUUGAGGGAUCUUCUCGACCUCUUUGACAUCAUUUGGCAAUGCUCUCUCUUUUGCCUUAGAUGUCAAAGUUUCUCUCAAAGAUUUUAUAGAAACGCCUGAUCAGGCCACUCUUUUGCACCUACCAAUUUCCGGUGAGGUGAUGGAUAAGCUGGAACCUCUGGAUGGUUCAUUACAUAGCCUUCAACACAACCAAACAUUGCCUGAUGUUUAUUCUUGGUCAGGAGCAUCAUUUUUUGCUAAAAGCUUCUACUCCAUUGAAAGGACGUGGAUGUCGCCUAGAGGGGUGGUGGUGAAUAGGCGCUUUAAAUGACGGUUUAGGCUUGAACAAAUGCGAAAUAAAACUAAUGUUUAAUUAGUCAAGCACAAAACCUAAAAAAACAAGGCUCACCUAUGUGCAACAAGAACUUAUGCUAAGCAAGAUAAACAAAUUAAGUGAUAGCAAGAUAUAGACCAAGAAACAAUAUGGCUAUCACAAAGUAAAUAGCGUAGGUAAAUAGGCUCGGUAAGGAGUUAACCGAGGCACGCGGAGACGACAAUGUAUCCCGAAGUUCACAUCCUUGCGGAUACUAAUCCCCGUUUGGAGUAGUGUGGAGGCACAUUGCUCCCCAAGAUGCCACUACGGUCAUCGUAAUCUCCUCACGCCCUCGCACAAUGCAAGAUGCCGUGAUUUCACUAAGGGACCCUUGAGGGUGGUCACCGAACCCGUACAAACAAGGUUGGAGCAUUCUCCACAACUUAAUUGGAGGCUCCCAACAACACCACGAAGAUUCACCACGAUGGUCUAUGGCUCCGAGAUGACCUCAAAUGCUCAGGGCAAUCUCCACAACCUAAUUGUAGACCCUGACGCUUGCCCAGAGCUUUACACCAUAAUGAUUGAGCUCCGAGGCAUCACCAAGCUUCUAGGACGCCAAAGCACCCAAGAAGGACAAGCUCUAGGGUACCAAGCACCCAAGAGUAAUAAGCUUCUCAACUUCUCACUUUCAUGUACCACCGUGGAGAACUCAAACCGAUGCAACUAAUGCAAUGGCAAGAACACACAAAGUGAUCAAGUCCCUCACGCUCAAAUCCCUCCAGAACAACAAAAGCUAUGGAGGAAUAUGAGAGGAAGACCAAGGAGCUCACUAAGAACUCCAAGUUCAAGAUCCAAGGGGUUCCCCUCACAUAGAGGAGAAAGUGAUUGGUGGAAUUAUGGAUCUAGAUCUCCUCUCUCUUUUCCCUUAAGAACUAGCAAGAAUCAUCAGAGGGAUUGAGAGUUAGCAUGCUAGAAGAAGGUCAACAAUGGGGGGCAAACACGAGCUCAACAGAUGGGGAACCAUUGGGGAAGAAGACCCCCUUAAAUAAGUUCCCCCAAAUCCAAUCGUUAUGUGCACAGGUCGUGCACAAGCGGUACUACCGCUUGGCUGAGCGGUACUACCGCUGGCACGAAAGUACCGGGCUUCAUAGGCAGAUUGAGAAAGUCAGGGAGGCGGUAGUUCUACCGGUGCGGUACUACCGCUCCUGCCAGCGGUACUUUCACUUAGCACUACCCACUCAAAAUCUGCUCGGAAGACGAAGAUACAAGAGAGCUCAAAAUAAGCGGUAGUAGUAGCGGUACUGGAGAGCGGUAGUACCACUUGAGUAGUACUACCGCUUCCACCGCAGCGGUACUUCCGCUUACGAGAAAAAAACUGCCCUGAUACUAAAAUGGCUACAAACCUGCCGUGCGGAUGAAAGAAGGGUCGGCGCAUUGGGUGCAUGGCUGACCUAAAAGAAAAACAGGGCGGACAAGCCGAUCCAAAUGUAUAAAACACGGACAAAACGAGCAUCCGUUUGGGUCGCCCUGCUGGAGUUGCUCUAACCUCCAUUAGAUAAAUAGGUAAGUAGGUAAGUGUUUUUUCCUUUUUUCCUUUGUUCCCGUUUGUAAUUAUUUAUUGCUUGCUUUUGUUUUGAAGAAAUAAAGGACGGCGGAGCUGUUACUCCAUAGUACUUACAAAAAAUGAGUUUUAUUUCUUGAUUUUCACUAGCAUGAUUACAAUCCUUCUGAAGGAGCUCAUGCAAUGCAUGUUGGAGAUUUAUUCCAAUAGUUGCAUAAUAUGGUUCGAAUGUUGUUGUUAUAUCUAGUUCAGUUAGAUGCUUAUUAUCCAGACCAUCACAAGUUCUUUAGUAAGUGUCUCUACUAAGAAUAUGUGUCAUCCUAUUCUACUAGCAAAAACCGAUGAAAAUGAUGGUAGUGACAUGGAAAAGAUACCACAGCUAUUUUGUUAUUGAUAUAAGUAAAGAAACUGAAAAUUGCAAUUGUCAAUCAGUGGGUCUUAAUGUCAAAUACAGGAAUCUUCCACCCACUAGCUGCGAGACAUCCAUUGCAGUGCUAAAUAAAAUAAACUUUUCCGAUAAUUAACAGCAAGACAAUGGUCCGCUUGUUGUAUAUUAUAAAUAUGGCACAGGUGUUGUAUAUGUGUAGGCCGUGCUAGAAUUUACAUAUGCAUAUAUGCUCCACAACCUAUGCUCGUACAAACACAGAUCAUAGAGAUGCAAAUUAUGCUCUAGUCGGAAAGCAGAGUCAUGGACAAAAGUGAAGUUCACAGAANNNNN
rnacentral:lncRNA from 1 species